rnacentral:rRNA from 1 species
UACGUAGGGUGCGAGCGUUAAUCGGAAUUACUGGGCGUAAAGCGUGCGCAGGCGGCUUCGCAAGUCAGGCGUGAAAUCCCCGGGCUUAACCUGGGAAUGGCGUCUGAAACUACGGAGCUGGAGUGUGGCAGAGGGGAGGUAGAAUUCCACGUGUAGCGGUGAAAUGCGUAGAUAUGAUGGAGGAAUACCGAUGGCGAAGGCAGCCUCCUGGGCCAACACUGACGCUCGAUGACACGAAAGCGUGGGGAGCGAACAGG